rnacentral:sRNA from 1 species
UGUUGUAUUAUUGGGGCGACGGUGUCA